GAAAAAUAAAAAUUUAAAUUUUAAAAUCUAGAAAAUUCAAAUUAAAAUACUACAAUAUUUAAUUUAAUACAAAAUUUACUUAUAAAAUAAUUAUUUAAAAAUUCGAGAUGUUACAAUUUAAUGCAAAGUUCAUAUAUUAAAUCUAUGAUGAACCAAACUUAGUAUAGCUAUACUUGCUAGUUUAUUGGAGAUGGCUUUAAAGAAGUUGAUCGAUGUUCUAGAUAGGAGUAUUUGGUUUCAGUUUAGUUCGGGAUUUGUCUAGGAAUCAGAACCGAAUCGAAAUUUUCCGGUUUGAUUUUUCAUUGUUUCGGUUUUAGUUUGGUAUAGUUCUUGGUUCUUCUGUUCUGUUCGGAAUGAUUCCAGUUCGGUUCUCGGUUCUUAAAAUA
rnacentral:misc_RNA from 1 species